GGCAAUAAGCUUAUUUGCCAAUUGUGUGGUAAGACGAAUCAUGUCGCACUCAAAUGUUUCAAACGCUUUGAUGUGAGCUUCACUGGACCAGAUCCUCCUUCAUCUCCUGCUCCACAAGCGCAUCUUACAAAUCCUGAUACUCCCUCAAACUCUAACUCUGCCUACAAUACUUCAUCUAUUACUACUAACUCUACAUCUCAGUUUCCUCCUGCAGCUUAUACAAACACAACUCACUCCACUCUACCAUCUACUUCUGAAUGGUACCUGGACUCUGGAGCUUCGGCUCAUGUAACUGCAGACAUGGGAAAUAUGCACACUCAAACACCUUAUCAUGGCUCAGAAUCCCUCUCUGUAGGUAAUGGCUCCCAACUCUCUAUAACUCAUACUGGAACAUCAGUUUUACCAUCUAAUCUUCAUCUGAAAAACAUCCUGCUUGUCCCUAACAUCACCAAAAGCUUAAUAAGCAUCUCUAAAAUCACAGCUGAUAACAAUGUGUACAUUGAAUUUCACUCAGAUUUUUGUUUUGUUAAGGACAACACUACUCAUCAGGUUUUACUGGAGGGCAAACUUAAGGAGGGGCUGUAUCACCUAAAUCUCAAAGGUCUUUCUACAAAUUCUUCUUCUACUGAUGAUCUAUAUUCCACUGUACACAAGCCUCAGUCUAUGCAAUGUAGUAUUUCACCUUUAGAUGUAACAACUUGGCAUGCUAGAUUAGGACACCCCUGUCAUGCUGUAUUGCAGUCUACCUUUAAGGCCAUGAAUCUCUCUGUAAAACCAUCUUCAAAUACCUUCUGUAAUUCCUGUGCAAUUGGAAAAAUACAUGCUAUUAGUUUUCCUUCGUUGAAAUCAAAACAAAUGCUCCAUUUCAACUUGUUCAUACAGAUGUUUGGGGACCCAGCCCCACUGUUUCAAAUGAUGGUUUCAAAUAUUAUGUUCAUUUUAUUGAUGACUUUACAAGAUUUACUUGGAUCUUUCCAUUAUCUGCAAAAUCUGAGGUUUUAUCUGUUUUUCAAAAAUUCUAUAAGUUCGUAGAAAGACAGUUUCCUUACAAGUUAAAAGCAAUCCAAUCAAAUUGGGGGGGUGAGUAUAGGCCACUUAAAACCUUCUUAGAUAACUUAGGAAUUCAGUUUAGACAUCCUUGUCCUCACACUCAUCAACAAAAUGGAAAAUCUGAGAGAAAACAUAGACACAUUGUUGAGCUUGGUCUUACUUUGCUUGCUACUGCCUCUCUUCCUCAAUCAUUUUGGUGGGAUGCUUUUACAACUGCAGUAUAUCUUAUAAACCGUUUACCCACUCCAUCUCUAAAAAAUGCAUCUCCAUUUCAAUCCUUGUUUCACAAAGUACCAGAUUAUAGCUUCUUAUAGGUGUUUGGGUGCAGCUGUUUAUCUGAGGCCUUACAAUACAUCUAAACUCCAGUUCAGAUCAUCCCAAUGCUUAUUCUUAGGAUACAACCAUGAUCACAAAGGAUAUAGGUGUCUUCACCCAUCAGGAAGGCUUUAUAUAGCUAGGACUGUUUUGUUUAAUGAACAAGACUUUCCUUAUAUGCGGCUAUUCUCUCCCUCAAGCUCAUCUUCAGCUCAAUCACAUGAAAGCUCCUCCUCAUCUCCUGCACAUAACUGCUCAUGUUUCCAUCAUAUACCUCCAUCCCUCCAGGUUCCUCUAUCUGCUCCACCCCCAAAGCCAUCUUCUUCUUUAUCUCACUCAAACUCUCUCCCUCCAACUUUACAAAUAACUUCUCCCUCUCCAGUUCAGUCUUCCCCAUCUCCUGCACCUCACAAAUCUCCUACACUACUUCCACACUCUCCUUCUCCAGUCACUAUACCACACAAUCAACACCCAAUGACCACUAGAUCAAAAAUAGGUGUGUUUAAACCAAAAGUUUACAUUGCCAUAUCUAGUCUCCCACCAUCUGUACUUCUCACUUCCUCCACCCAUCCAGUAGCUCACAUCACCACAAUGGGAAAUAAAUACACUGAACCUUCCUCUAACUCUGCUGCCCUUGCUGAUCCACUGUGGUACAAGGCUAUGGAGGAUGAAAUUACUGCCAUUCAAGAGAAAGAAACAUGGGAAAUUGUCCCUCCUGCCUCAGGCACAAACCCUAUUGAUUGUAAAUGGGUUUAUCGGGUCAAGCUUCACCCUGAUGACACCCUUGAUAAGCUCAAGGCCAGGCUUGUAGCUAAAGGGUUCCAACAGUUAGCUGGUCUGGACUUUCUUGAGACUUUCAGUCCGGCCAUUAAACCAGUGUUUGUGAGACUUUUAUUCUCUUUAGCUGCCUCAUUUAAUUGGGAUAUACAACAUAUUGAUAUUAAUAACGCAUUUCUCAAUGGUUAUUUGGAUAGACCUGUUUUCAUGAAACAACCCCCAGGUUUUGAACACCCUCAACAUCCUGACUGGGUGUGCAAGCUAAAGAAAUCUCUCUAUGGGCUUAAACAAGCUCCAAGAGCUUGGUAUGAAAGACUUAAAGCUCAUCUCUUCAGGUAUGGUUUCAAACAUUCAGCCUCUGAUCACUCCUUCUUUAUGAGGCAAAGUGGCAGUCUACUGUUGGUACUAGUGUAUGUUGAUGACAUACUUAUCACCGGGGAAGAUCCUCAGCUGGUCUAACAUUUUAUUCAGUCAUUAUCUCAUGAGUUUGCCUUAAAAACUCUAGGCAAUGUCAAGUUUUUUCUUGGUGUAGAAGUCUCCAAAAAGCAGCAUGGCUAUCAUCUAUCUCAGACCAAAUAUAUUCGAGAUUUGCUUACCAAAACAAAUCUUCAAGACAGCAACGCUCAGCCUUCUCCCUAUGAUUCUGGAGUUAAACUACAUCUUAAAGAUAGUCCAGCUUUUUCCAAUCCUACACUUUAUCGAAGCACCAUUGGUGCUCUACAGUGUCUCAAAUCACCAGGCCCGACAUCUCAUUCAUGGUCAACAAGUUGAGCCAAUUUCUCCAAAAUCCAACUGAACUGCAGUGGAAAGCAUGCAAGCGACUGCUCCGGUGUCUAAAAGGUACUCUCACUCACUCUCUUAAGUUCACUGCAUCGCCUUAUCUCACACUAAGUGCCUUCUCGGAUGCCAUUGGGCGGGGUCUAUUGAUGAUCGCAAAUCUACUGGGGGAUACCUGGUUUUCUUGGGUCCAAAUCUACUAUCUUGGAGCUCUAAGAAACAGGGUAUUGUAUCUCGAAGCUCCACUGAAGCAGAGUACCGCUCGCUUGCUGAUACUGCUAUGGAACUCGUAUGGAUAAAGUCUCUUUUAACGGAACUUGGUUAUAAUUUGCCUCAAUCACCUAUAAUUUGGUGUGACAACAGGAGCGCUGCUCCUAUGGCGUCAAACCCGGUGCUUCAUGCACGGACUAAACACAUAGAAAUCGACGUUCACUUUGUUCGUGACAAGAUUAUCAAACAAGAGCUGGAUGUUCAAUACAUCUCCACCACCGAUCAAAUGGCGGAUAUACUUACUAAACCAGUGUCCAUAUCUCGGUUUAAGUUCUUACUUGAUAAACUUCCAUUUGAAAAAGGCUGAAGUUUUGGGUUUUUUGGGACUGUAAUGUAACAGUGAAGCCUUUAGUUAAGCUCACGGUUAGUCAAUUAGUUAGAAUCUGUUAGGCAGAUAAGAGUGAGGUUAGGAAGUUUAAUUUACAGCUAAAGCUUCUUGUAUCAGAUCUAUAAAUACUUGUAACAUUCAUAGAAAUAAAGUGAUUUUCCCUUUGCACAAUUACUCUUCUCCUUGCUUCCUCUCAUAUCAAACA
rnacentral:lncRNA from 1 species